UUUUUUAAGAGUUUGAUCCUGGCUCAGGAUGAACGCUGGCUGUGUGCCUAAUACAUGCAUGUUGAACGAAGAACCUAGCUUGCUAGGUUACUUAGUAGCGAAUGGGUGAGUAACACGUACCUAACCUACCUUAAAGUUUGGGAUAACACUUGGAAACAGGUGCUAAUACCGAAUACGUAGUCUUUUCGCAUGAAGAGACUUCAAAAGGCGCCUUAAAGCGUCGCUUUGAAAUGGGGGUGCGGAACAUUAGCUAGUUGGUGGGGUAAUGGCCUACCAAGGCGAUGAUGUUUAGCUGGGUUGAGAGACUGAACAGCCACACUGGGACUGAGAUACGGCCCAGACUCCUACGGGAGGCAGCAGUAGGGAAUUUUCCACAAUGAGCGAAAGCUUGAUGGAGCGACACAGCGUGCAGGAUGACGGCCUUCGGGUUGUAAACUGCUGUUAUAAGGGAAGAAAAACUAGGGUAGGAAAUGACCUUAGCAUGACUGUACCUUGUCAGAAAGCGACGGCUAACUAUGUGCCAGCAGCCGCGGUAAUACAUAGGUCGCAAGCGUUAUCCGGAAUUAUUGGGCGUAAAGAGUUCGUAGGUUGUUUGUUAAGUCUGAAGUUAAAUCCUGGAGCUCAACUCCAGUCUGCUUUAGAUACUGACAAACUAGAAUUGCAAAGAGGUUAGUGGAAUUCCUAGUGAAGCGGUGGAAUGCGUAGAUAUUAGGAAGAACACCAAUGGCGAAGGCAGCUAACUGGUUGCAUAUUGACACUGAGGAACGAAAGCGUGGGGAGCAAACAGGAUUAGAUACCCUGGUAGUCCACGCCGUAAACGAUGAUCAUUAGCCGGUAGGAUACUUACUGGCGCAGCUAACGCGUUAAAUGAUCCGCCUGAGUAGUAUGCUCGCAAGAGUGAAACUUAAAGGAAUUGACGGGGACCCGCACAAGCGGAGGAGCAUGUGGUUUAAUUUGAAGAUACGCGUAGAACCUUACCCACUCUUGACAUCCUGUGCAAUGCUAUAGAGAUAUAGCGGAGGUUAACACAGUGACAGAUGGUGCAUGGUUGUCGUCAGCUCGUGUCGUGAGAUGUUAGGUUAAGUCCUGCAACGAGCGCAACCCUUGUCUUUAGUUACUAACGAGUAAUGUCGAGGACUCUAGAGAGACUGCCGGGGUAACCCGGAGGAAGGUGGGGAUGACGUCAAAUCAUCAUGCCUCUUACGAGUGGGGCAACACACGUGCUACAAUGGUCGGUACAAAGAGAAGCAAUAUGGUGACAUGGAGCAAACCUCAAAAAACCGAUCUCAGUUCGGAUCGAAGUCUGCAACUCGACUUCGUGAAGUCGGAUUCGCUAGUAAUCGCAGAUCAGCUACGCUGCGGUGAAUACGUUCUCGGGUCUUGUACACACCGCCCGUCACACCAUGGGAGUUGGUAAUGCCCGAAGUCGGUUAGUUAACUUUAUUGAAACGGCUGCCUAAGGCAGGACUGAUGACUGGGGUGAAGUCGUAACAAGGUAUCCCUACGAGAACGUGGGGAUGGAUCACCUCCUUU
rnacentral:rRNA from 1 species